ensembl:lncRNA
ACCAUGUUUGUCCUUGAUCUUGUGUACAUAGCUAAAUUUUACAGUUAGCAUCUGUUCCUGGGUUAAACCACAACCACAACCUAGAUUUGCAACCCUGUUACUCACAACCCUGUUACUGUAAGUUACCAAAUAUAUUGCAUAAUCUAAUUUAAAAAACUGCUUUGAUACCUGAGCUUCACAAAUCAAACUUUUUGAUAGUCUAUUACCUGUAUUUAAUAGAUAUAUGACUAAAAAUAAUCAAAUUGAAGAUCAAAUUUUUAGAAGUGACCACCCCUGAAAUGUACCAAAAUCCUGGAAUGUCCCAACAAUUUAUCUCAUUUAAAGAAAAAGUACAACUAAGCAUAAUUUAUUUCUUAUGAUAAGGAUUUGUGUGUGUAUUUUGUACAUGUAUUUGUACAGUGUAGUAUUCAAUUAUUUAAACUGUUCAUGCUCAAAUCAAUUUAGAUCCACCUCUGGUUUGCAAUUAAAUGGACCACUUUUAAUAAUGCACUUAAGUUUGUCAUGCACCUCCUCCAUUGGAGGAUGAUUAUAGUAGAACAUUGUCUCCUGAUGCUCAGUGGGCUCUUGAUUAAACUGUGGAACUGUACAUUACUUGUUUAAUUGAGUUAAUUUGCUUCGAUUAGUCUCAGAUAUAAGGUUUACAGUUUAAUGCAGUGUGUGCUCCUCUCAGGUGUCUGGCCAGCAGUGGAUUUAAUCUGCCCCUGCUGCAGGCCUCUGCUCUCCCAUGGCAACCCGCAUAGACCGCCUCGCCCAGCCUAAACCCAACCUGCUCAAGUUCCCUGACAGACGCUCUGUGUACUGGUUGGAUAAGCUUCCAGCAAAAUCAAACAGCUACACCACUGCUUUUGAUCUGACUCCACGAUGGUUACAGAUUACACAGAGUAAAAAGCCUAAUGCUCGCUUUAACAUCCGCCGCUCUCCGGAAUGGAAAGUGAGUGCAGCAGCAUUAAAAGCUCGUCCCUCUGACAGGCUGUGUUCACUGGCUGAGCCCCGCAUGCCUGUAGAUGGCUGGCAGCCUCCUCGCCCUCUGCUGCCCAUAAUCAAUAAGGCAGUAAAAACAGCGGUGGCGAGCAGCCGGAUCUGCCAGCUGGCUCACCCAAAGAAAGUAUCUUGUCCAUCAAUGACUCAGACAUGUAGUAGCUCUGAAAUCUGCCUGUCCUCUGCCAAAUUCUCCGCUCGCACAUACCUCCUGGCAAGUGAGUUCAUGGCUUCACCCUUUUUAAUUAUUGCAAUUUAUUAGACAUGAUAGAACAGCUCAGACCUGUUUAUACAUCUCACGAGUGAAUUUUGAUCUCACUUGUAAAUCAUGUUUACACUCAAAAGUUCUGAAAGUGAAUUGUAAGGUAGUCUGAAAGUACACUGUGUACAAUUACUUCAGUUACUUUUGGUUUCACACCGCAACUUUUCUACAUCCUGGCAUUAUCACCUCUGUGGGCUGCAUCUGCAUAUAGUUCAGGGGUUCUUAACCUUUUUGACACCAAACCGCACCUGUUACUACCUAGAAAGCUUAACAGCAGACAAGAAAACAUAAAAAAUAAUGUAUUUUUGUGCAACAAGUUACUUCUUGUCAAUGUUUGCUCGAUUUUUAAUUUGUAAUGUUUUUUUGUUUUAAUUAAGACCUAUACUGCAGUAACCAUAGUUACUGGCCCACCACAGACUACUUCUUCCCCCUGAGGGUAGGCAUGUGGACCACUAAAGGGUGCUUAAUGGCCCACUGGUGGUCCCCAGACAUUGAUUGAUAUGUAAAUACUAUUCAUCUGAAGAAAAUACAAGUUGUUACAUGUUCUUCUUAGUGUUUAAACCUUGUGUUAAUAAUUAUGUUAUUUAUACUAAAGUGAAAAGUACUGUUUUAUUUAGGCCCUCAGGGCUCCAUUGUAGGGCCUUUGAAACUGAUAUAAAUCAUGACAGUAAAGAAAUAUUUUUUUAUAAGAUAAAGAAACAAUUUUGCUGAAUAUAUAAAUAUAUAUGAAAAUAUAUAUAUGAAUAUAUAUAUAUAUAUAUAUAUAUAUAUAUNAAACUAGUUCUGGGAAAAAUAACCUAAAAAUAGUAUCACAAUCAUCUGAGAAAUGUUUGAUCAUAAUUAAGCAUAGGGUGUUCAGUUCAGUGAAAAGCAGAGUAUUUCUGAGUCAUUUCUUUUAGCAGUUCUGUUGGUUCAUUUAUCAUGUUUCAAUCAGCAUCCAGAUUCACAAUGUCAGCAACAACAUUCUGUUUACAGUUGAUUUUUAAGUCCUGAAAAGUAGUCUUUACAUAAAAGAGCAAACUCAUAAAUUAUUCAGUUUUCCAUGUGGGAUGUGGAACUAGUUAUUGUUUUGUCUACUAUUUCAAGGCAGAUAAUGCUAGGCUGGCUAAAAUUUCUUUAGUUAGCUAAUCUACACUAAACCAAGAGAACAAAACAGAAUGUUAAAACAAAGCUGUAGUUACUGUACAAUGCAGGUUAUAACACAGCCAAAAACAGCAUGUUACAUUUUGAGGCUUAAUUACAGGGCAACAAAAGUUACAUACUUAGUAUUUAUACAUCAACUUUUUUAUUAUUACCUAUUACACUUAAAUACAUUUGAGUAUUUAAUUGAAUAUGGUUUAACAAGUCUAUGUACCACUAUAUAUAACAUGAUUUUCCUUUUAAAGACAGCUUGUGAGAUAAAGAACAAGCUCUGCUUUAGGCUGAUCUACAUAAAUAUACAUUUUAAAGCAUAGAUUAGCCACCAAAACAAAGGUGCUGUAAUUAUUCCUGAUAGUGAUUCUGCAUUGUGUUGCUAUCAUCUGAAGCUGAAGAGAUUGUAACUGGUUAGCUUUUAGCCUUGUCCCCACUCAAUCACUUCCCAGUUUUUUUUUUUUCGUAGGAGACUUGAAGAGAGUAAAAUCAUUUGGCUAACCUUAGCAACAAAUCCCCUGUUUGCUCUUAAUUUGAAGUACUUAAGGUUCACAGUAUGUCAUGUCCAUUUUAUUAACUAUUUUAUUAAGUAAAAACUGUUUUCUGUUUUAGAGCACCUGCAAAAUAUGGAAUAAAUUCAUUCUGUGGUUCUGUGGUAAUUUUUUA